AAUCUGGUUGAUCCUGCCAGUAGUUAUAUGCUUGUUUCAAAGAUUAAGCCAUGCAAGUCUAAGUAUAAGCUUUUAUACAGCGAAACUGCGAAUAGCUCAUUAUAACAGUUAUAAUUUACACGGUGAUCGUUACUAAAUGGAUAACCAUGGUAAUUCUGGAGCUAAUACAUGCGAAAUUCCCUUUCGGGAAGCAUUCAUUGGCCUUUUGAACCUUCACUGGUGAUCACAAUGAAAUUGCGGAUCUCAUUUGAGACAGACCGUUCAAGUUUCUGACCUAUCAGCUUUGGUCGGUAGGGUAUUGGCCUACCGAGGCAUUGACGGGUAACGGGGAAUUAGGGUUCGAUUCCGGAGAGGGAGCCUGAGAAACGGCUACCACAUCUAAGGGUGGCAGCAGGCGCGCAAAUUACCCAAUCCCGACACGGGGAGGUAGUGACAAGAAAUAGCGGCGUGAGACAAAUGUUUCAUGACUGCAAUGAGUAGAACUUAAAAACGUCUACGAUUAACAAUUGGAGGGCAAGUCUGGUGCCAGCAGCCGCGGUAAUUCCAGCU
rnacentral:ncRNA from 1 species